GAAGAAGAAAUGAAGCGAGGGCUGAUGACCCUUGCAAAAGAGGGACGCGAAAUUCAAGGUGAAUUGCAUUUUGUUGGUAAGAUCGAAAGAGAAGCAAGGGGUCUGAAGGAUUUUCUUGGUGAGCUUCCAAGAAGAGAAGCAUCUCGAUACCACUCAGAGGUUUCGGCUCUCAUGUCUCAGGUGAACAAAGAAAAGAAAGCUCUGAGCCGUACCACCACAAAGAUAAUCAAUUAUGGAAUACCGCUCUGAUGGUCUUCCAUAUUCAUAUUAUUAGCAACAGUUUGGAAGAGAGAAGAAGGACCAUGAUUCCAUGGGGCCAGCAGAGAUAAUAAGAGCUGAAAAUUGCUCAGUAAAGAAAACUGGAAGGAAAUCCCUUCAAGUUCUGCAUCGAAA
rnacentral:misc_RNA from 1 species